GGCUCAGGAUGAACGCUGGCGGCGUGCCUAAUACAUGCAAGUCGAGCGAACGGACAGGAGUGCUUGCACUCCUUGAAGUUAGCGGCGGACGGGUGAGUAACACGUGGGUAACCUACCUAUAAGACUGGGAUAACUUCGGGAAACCGGAGCUAAUACCGGAUAAUAUAUACCUCCGCAUGGAGGAAUAGUCAAAGACGGUUCUGCUGUCACUUAUAGAUGGACCCGCGGUGUAUUAGCUAGUUGGUGAGGUAACGGCUCACCAAGGCAACGAUACAUAGCCGACCUGAGAGGGUGAUCGGCCACACUGGGACUGAGACACGGCCCAGACUCCUACGGGAGGCAGCAGUAGGGAAUCUUCCGCAAUGGACGAAAGUCUGACGGAGCAACGCCGCGUGAGUGAAGAAGGUUUUCGGAUCGUAAAACUCUGUUGUAAGGGAAGAACAAGUACGUUAGUAACUGAACGUACCUUGACG
rnacentral:rRNA from 1 species